AUACAACGACACAAUGGACUGCGAAAUAGAGCUUAGAGACGGUUGCACAUCUCUAAGAUAUCACUGUUCUGAAAAGGAAUUGCUAACUCUCGGACGGAUGUUUCACCUUUUAAUCGCGAUCCCUUGGGUCCAAUCACGUUCAUCAUUAAACCAAGACGAUGGUUCGACGAAGAUCGAGGAAGAAUAGUUGACCGUGGAUGACGAUAGAAAAGCAUCGUUUAUCGGCCACGCCUUUUCUUCUACAUUUUCACGCUCGACGACAGACAGAUGGAAAACAAUCGCUAACUUUCUUCGUUUUAUGUCUCGAGCUCGAAUCGAUCCUGAGGAAUGUCGUCUCGAAUAGAGCACGGGUAACCGACGCGACUCGUUCCUAACUCUGACCUGAACUACGUAACGUGUCGAGUGAUUUAUCGUGACGCCAAGUGCUACUUCUUUAGAUUUAACCCGCUUCGAUGGGUACUCGACCGGCACAAAUGGGUGACCUUUUGGAAUUCUUGGGGGUGCGGUUCUAUUCUCGCAAUACGUCAGGAGCAAAGGGAACGACGAAAGGAGAGAAAAGGAGUGGAGAGGAGAGGAAGAGGAAAAGGGAUUACGUAGCGGUAGUCUGGUCUCGCGCUAAUGCACUGAGAUGUAUUCGCCUAGAUGCAUUGGAGACGGCGCUCUUCGAAAGGACUACGAUGGGAACGACGUGGCCUAAAGAGAACACAUUUAUUCUUCUCGUACAAGGGGAAACCAUCGUUAUAAAUACGCAUAUUCAGCUGAAAGCACCGCGAAUGCUCCUAGCGUCGUCGUGAAACCGUGCGAACGAUAUUUCAAAAGAAAAGAUAAAGAGAGAUAGUGAAAGAAAAAAAGAAAAAAGAGAGAUAAAGAGAAAGGGAAGAGAGAUAAGUAAUAAUAUCAAGUUAAUGAAUGACAUUGUUGGUGUUGGAGAAAAGGUUGGAAAGAUAUCAAAAACAAAAAAAAAAAAAAAAAAAAAAAGAAAAAAGAAAAAGGUUAAAAAAAAAAGUAUAAAAGAAGAAGAUAGAAGGAACGAACCUAUCAUCAUCAUCAUAUAUAGAAAAUAAUUGGUGAACGAGACAUCGAGUAUUUUUGGACAUUUUUAAAUGAGUUUCAAGGGACAAUACUCUCGUUACCAAUGACCGUGAUUAUGCAAUCCAGCAUGAACGCCACCGUAUCCGGCACCAUGAGCUGUGAUUUUUCCCGAGGGACCAGCAAUGAUCACCGAACCGGCAUGAGGACCGGCGACGGCCGAGCCGCCAGAAUGAGGUCCUGAUACGACGGCACCGUGGGACGCAGGUCCUGCGAGGACAACGCCGUGUCCUGCGUGUCCUGCGUAUCCCGCGUUUCCUGCAUAUCCCGCGUAACCGACGUAGCCAGGAGAACCCGCGUAACCGU